CACGAGGCCAGGCCCCAGCACCUCUCGCUUCUCAGCUCCUCCCCCUGCACCAUCUGCUUGCUCCGGGUUCCACACUGGCUCGGCUCCCGUGCCUCCUGACUCGACCCGCCGACCUCCUCCUGGAGCCCUUCUCGCACUACCGCUUCCUGACCAGCGGGCCGCCAUCCACCGCCAGCCAGGAGCGGGAGCCGUUCCAGGAGACCCUGGAGUCCCUGCGGGUGCUGGGCUUCACGCCCGAGGAGAUCACCUGGUGGCAGAGUAUGGUGGCUUUGCAUGGACUCCGUCUUUCAACUGAGCCUCAGGGGCUCCCGUGGUGACUUCGAGCUGCGUCUUAUCCCGAGCUUGCCCUGGCACCUCAGGAGGCGAGGAGCUGUGGUCAGCCAACAGUGGCCCCACCUUGCUUGCUCUGCUGCAUCUCACUUCCCAACCAGGGUUGUGCAGUCCCCAGCCAGCCCUGAAGGUGUCUGCAGCUGGCAUCUGGCAGCAAAUCCAGACCCUGUGGGUGGCAGGGAGGGGUUUCCAGCCUUCCUGCCACUGCCUGCUGGCUGGGGGUGCAGACAGAGCUGGGAGUUUUGCAUUUCACACACAAAAAUGUUGCAGUAAAAUUGUGAAUGUGGCCAAAGGUCACCUGAGGAGUCCCCCCAGCCCCUGCACCUGGUUCCCAUGCUUCUCCUUCCAGGUAGAUUUUGGAUGGAUGAGAACAGACAGGGACAGCCAUCCCUGGUACCCCGGAGAUCAGCUCAAGGGCCCGCUAGAAUACCAGGCGCUAUGGGUGCCCAGGUCCCUUCAAUAAAACAGCACGGUGUUUGCACGUACCUUGCGCAGUCCUCCCAGGUACUCUGAAGUACCCCUGUAUGAUUUAUAGCACCUAAUGCAACAUGAAUGGUA
rnacentral:lncRNA from 1 species